rnacentral:lncRNA from 1 species
AGCUGAUAGGAGCGCGGGUCUGGUGGGUUUCCAUCCCCUGCCCUGAGCCUUCCAGGGAGUCUUCUGUUUCCCAUGCAGGGAGAGGGGAAAGGAGGCCACGAAGCCAGUGGCGAAAGCCCCCAAAACAUUUCCUUGGAGACCGGUCAUCAUGUCUUGUCCACUGCUGUGACCCCAGCACCGCCAAUCCCCGCAAUACACAUGAGCCAUCCUGAACUUUGCAGACGCCAUUCCCUCUGCCUCGCAUGCGCUUCCCUCCCCGCUGAACCUGGCCGAGUCCUGCUCACCUGCAGGUCACGGCUUCAUCCCCUUCUUCAGGGAGGCUGGCCUGGUCAGCUGUGUUCUCACCACACCAUGUACUUCUGUAGACUAGCCUUCAGCACAGAUGCUGUUGAAUACGUGACAGAAUCAUUUUGCGAAAUGUGUUCCCUUUGUGUGCAGAGUAACAAAGCCAGGUUAUUAAGGAUGCCUUCAAGUAUUUACCUGGUGGAAGGUGCCUCCUCUUUAAGAAGUUUCUGGUUGCAGGGCACCUGGCGGCUCAGACGGUUAAGCGUCUGCCUUCGGCUCAGGUCAUGAUCCCAGGGUCCCUGGAUCCAGCCCUGAGUCCGGCUCCUGGCUCAGCGGGGAGCCUGCUUCUCCCUCUCCCUCUGCCUCUCCCCCUGCUCAUGCUCUCUC